rnacentral:rRNA from 1 species
UACGGGGGGGGCAAGCGUUGUUCGGAAUUACUGGGCGUAAAGGGUUCGUAGGUGGCCAAUUAAGUCAGACGUGAAAUCCCUCAGCUUAACUGGGGAACUGCGUCUGAGACUGGAUGGCUUGAGUGCAGGAGAGGAACGCGGAAUUCCCGGUGUAGCGGUGAAAUGUGUAGAGAUCGGGAGGAACACCGGUGGCGAAGGCGGGUCUCUGGGCAAUUCCUGACGCUGAGGCGCGAAAGCGUGGGGAGCAAACGGG